rnacentral:lncRNA from 1 species
UUUCUCCUGGCAUCAAGAGCGAGUGGAACUGAUAUUCAGGAUGUCACUGGAUGGGAUCCAAGGAAGACCUCAAAGAGAUGGGGACCUCAAUUCACCCUAAUCUUCGGGUGUCUGGGAAGUGUGGCUGCUGGGCUCCAGCAUCCCCCAGAAUGGAGUCAUCCAAGGAGAGCAAAGUGACAAUGGGCCAGGGGAUCUGUGCAAUGGGGGGACAGAACUUGCCUUUUGUCCCAGACAAAUCAGAUCAGACCAUCUUUGCCCUUCCAAGUAUGUGAGAGAGAGACAACAUCAAUUGCUUUCUUCCUGAGUUAAAUGGAAAUCAUCCUUGAAUGAGAAUUAAAUCAAGUAAAGUCAAAGUGCCUGUUUCAGUGCCUGGGACCUCAUAUGCCUUCCCUGGGUGAACUCGCUUCUUCUGCACUUGCUCUUUGACCUUGAACAGCUGUCUCGGCCUUCCAGGCUCAGUUUCUCCCUGUGAAGUGAAGUGGUUUGGGCUGAGGUUCAGUGGUAACAUGUUGCAUAGUGUCUCUUAAAUGAAACGGGCAGAUUGGUUCUGGAAGGAGAGACAGUGAAACCCCGGAUGUGUCUGACCUUUCUGCGCCACUGCUUGAAUGUCGAACAGCUGACACCUAGGCAUCCUCAAUGUUCCCUGUAUGUCUGGGCUAACGUUGCCCCUGGCAACGCUGACCUGAUCUCUGUUCCCUUUGAUGUGCUCACUCUCAACACCACUCAGUGGACAGGAAAUUGCCAUGGGCAGUGCGCUCCACUCACUGUGAUCUAGGUGAAAAGACACUUCAAAUUAUAUCCAUCAUGAAGAUUGUGAGCUCUAAGGCCUUCUAGGGGCCUAAGUGCCUGAUCUCCAAGGAUUGUCCUGUUUGGAUUGGAAUUAGGAAUUUUGACCUGCUGGAACUUAGGCAGGGGAGGGUUCUGGAAGUACCUGUAGAAG